AGACAGAGAGGCAUGAUGGCUGAAUUCAGAUGGAUUAAAAUGUCUUUAUUUCUGAUACUGAUGCUUCAGUUUACAGCAGCAGGACAGCUUUUCCGCUCCCUCACUUUUAGAGUUGGAGAUGACAUCACUUUGUCUUGUGAAAAUGUGAUAGAUGAUCAGAAUAACUGUGACAGUACCGUAUGGCUCUUCAGUGAAUCAAGAAGCACACGGACAGUAGUGCUGGUUGAUCUUGGGAAGAUUGUUGAAAAUGCUAAAUCAGACAGACUGAGUGUUACAGAGAACUGUUCUCUGGUUAUAAAGAAGCUCACAGAUGAAGAUGUUGGACGUUACGCCUGCAGACAGUUCAGAUCAGGACAACGACAAGGUCAAGAUGCUGUGGUUGAACUGUCUGUUCUUAGAAUGACUGAACGUCAGGACACUGAUGAGGUGACAUUAACCUGCUCUGUGAGGACAUAUGAACGAUGUCCACACACAGUGAAGUGGCUGUUUCAGGGUCAAGAUGUGGAUAAAGACAACAAGGACAUAAAGACAUCACAGUCUCUCUGCUCUGCCUCUGUGACCUUUCUGACUUCUGUCUACAUUUACACAUCAAGAUAUAAGUUAUUUACAUGUGCAGUGACUGAUGGUGACAGAGUGCAGGUGUUUCCCUUCAGAUCUCAAUCCUCAGGUGAGGACACAACAACAGCAGCAACAACAGCAUCAACAACAGUUGCGACCGCGACAGCUUCUGCAACCAAUGAUGCUUCAACUAAAGGUUGGUGGUUGAGGUUCUUCAUUGUGUCUGUGGGUUUAUCAGUGCUCAUAAUAAGUGUUGUGGCAGUCAACAUGUGGACAAGAACUAAAGAGAAGAAAACACAGAUGGAUGAAAUCACUGUGCGUUAUGAUGAAGCUGAUGGUACAGUGAACUAUGAAAACAUCAGACCUUCUGGUGGAGUUUGACCAACACUUCUGGCUCCAUCAGACUCCACUGAUCAACUCAUCACGUUUCACAUGACCAGUUAAAUACUGGAAAUAACAACAACAAAAAAGAGAGGCUUAUUAUGUUAUUUUAGUCUGAUGUCUUUUCUUCCAUCAGCUGUAAAAACUUUUCUUGUCGGCAGUCAGGUCAGAAGGCAGCAAAUCUGUCGAAAUACAGAAAGAGAUGCUGAGGCUAAAACCUCCAGACGUCUGCUGCUGAUGUUAACCACAUUCUCACCAAAUCACUUCUCCUUCAGUUCUCAGGAAAACAACUUCAAAAACACAAUGAGGAACCAACAGGUCUCAGACCAGUGAAACAUCAUCUUAUCUGUGUUCCCUCCCAGCUGCUACAGUGUCACCACAUUGCACCACAGACAUCAAGAGUGAAAUUCUGCUGGGUGAGGAGUUUGACUCUUCACCUGUCUGUUCAUGUGUGCUGUCAAACAUCACCAUGAAUCCUGUCUGUUUUCUAACAAACAUCAUCCAAAGAAAACAAGUGACAUCAUUAUUUAUUUUAACCAACAAUCUUCAAACCUUCAACUUCCUCAGUCGUCGUCUUCUUCUUUUCGGAAGGUGAAACACGUCACUGUCACAAAUGCACUGUGGGACUGGACACAGUGUGAACUUGAGACUCAACAAGAGCAUGAAUACACUUUGACUGUUGCAGCAUUAAACUGGAUCACUGACUGCACAAACAUAUAACUGUCCUAUGAGACGGUUUCAGUGAAAUGUAAAAAUUGUAAGUUUUUGGCUGUUUGGACGUCUGUAACAAAUUCAGAGAUAAAAAUCUAAAACAGUGCUGAAGUCACUUUGAGGAAGUGACAUCAUACUCAUCACAGGAAGUAGCUGCAGCGUCUCUCUACUAAAGCACUAAGUUAGAAACAGUUUGAGCAUCAGAACAAGAGAAAGAAGAAGCAGA